GACGAACGCUGGCGGCGUGCUUAACACAUGCAAGUCGAACGGAAAGGCCUGUCCUUCCUUGUGUUGGACGGGUACUCGAGUGGCGAACGGGUGAGUAACACGUGAGUGAUCUGCCCCCAACUUGGGUAUAAGCCUGGGAAACUGGGUCUAAUUCCCGAUAGGACUGCAGGGUGGUGCCUGUGGUGGAAAACGAUUUUCUAGUGGUUGGGGAUGAGCUCGCGGCCUAUCAGCUUGUUGGUGGGGUAAUGGCCUACCAAGGCGGCGACGGGUAGCCGGCCUGAGAGGGUGGACGGCCACAUUGGGACUGAGAUACGGCCCAGACUCCUACGGGAGGCAGCAGUGGGGAAUAUUGCACAAUGGGCGGAAGCCUGAUGCAGAGACGCCGCGUGGGGGAUGACGGCCUUCGGGUUGUAAACUCCUUUCGACCGCGAGGAAGCCGCCUGGUUGGAAGGGUGGUGACGGUAGUGGUAGAAGAAGCACCGGCUAACUACGUG
rnacentral:rRNA from 1 species